rnacentral:rRNA from 1 species
CCUACGGGUGGCUGCAGUGAGGAAUAUUGGUCAAUGGACGAGAGUCUGAACCAGCCAAGUAGCGUGAAGGAUGACUGCCCUAUGGGUUGUAAACUUCUUUUAUAUGGGAAUAAAAUGUUCCACGUGUGGGAUUUUGUAUGUACCAUAUGAAUAAGGAUCGGCUAACUCCGUGCCAGCAGCCGCGGUAAUACGGAGGAUCCGAGCGUUAUCCGGAUUUAUUGGGUUUAAAGGGAGCGUAGGUGGAUUGUUAAGUCAGUUGUGAAAGUUUGCGUCUCAACCGUAAAAUUGCAGUUGAAACUGGCAGUCUUGAGUACAGUAGAGGUGGGCGGAAUUCGUGGUGUAGCGGUGAAAUGCUUAGAUAUCACGAAGAACACCGAUUGCGAAGGCAGUUCACUGGACUGCAACUGACACUGAGGCUCGAAAGUGUGGGUAUCAAACAGGAUUAGAUACCCGAGUAGUC